CUCCCUGGACAAGACUUAGCCUCAAACCCUGAAGCUACAGGAUGGAGUUUAAUGAGUCGAGAAGCAGAAUGGCGUUUUCAGAUUCUGCUGCUGUAAUGAUUUGGAUCAAUAUCCGUGUUUGCCUCCCCUUUACUCUCCUGCUCAUCGCUUUGAGCUGCAUGAUGAGACUGGAUCAUGGUCCUGUUGCCUACUACAUAACCCUGCUCUUCUUUAACCUGAUUCAGUUCAUCUAUCUGGUUGUAUCUCUUAUUCCUGAUUAUUACUGGAGACCUUAUGUUCCAGUGGAAAUUUAUGCCCUUUUUGCAGUGACCAGUC